rnacentral:rRNA from 1 species
GUUUAUCAAAAACAUGUCUUUUAGAAUUUAAUUUAAAGUCUAGCCUGCCCACUGAAUAAUUUUAAAUGGCCGCAGUAUCCUAACUGUGCAAAGGUAGCAUAAUCAUUAGUCUUUUAAUUGAAGGCUGGAAUGAAUGGUUGGAUGAAAUAUUAACUGUUUCAUGAAAAUUUAUAAUAGAAUUUUAUUUUUUAGUUAAAAAGCUAAAAUUUUAUUAAAAGACGAGAAGACCCUAUAAAUCUUUAUAUUUUAUUGGGGUGAUAUUAAAAUUUAAUAAACUUUUAAUUUAUAUUAAACAUAAAUUAAUGAAUUAUUGAUCCAUAAAUAAUGAUUAAAAAAUUAAGUUACUUUAGGGAUAACAGCGUAAUUUUUUUAGAGAGUUCAUAUUGAUAAAAAAGAUUGCGACCUCGAUGU